UACGAAGGGGGCUAGCGUUGCUCGGAAUCACUGGGCGUAAAGGGCGCGUAGGCGGAUCUUUAAGUCGGGGGUGAAAGCCUGUGGCUCAACCACAGAAUUGCCUUCGAUACUGGGGAUCUCGAGACCGGAAGAGGUGAGUGGAACUGCGAGUGUAGAGGUGAAAUUCGUAGAUAUUCGCAAGAACACCAGUGGCGAAGGCGGCUCACUGGUCCGGUUCUGACGCUGAGGCGCGAAAGCGUGGGGAGCAAAUAGG
rnacentral:rRNA from 1 species